UAAUACUAAAAAGCGAUUAAAGAGUAAAAAAAAAAAAAAAAACAAAGUCAGGUGAGGAAAUACUUCGCCGCAUCGCACCUCCACUAAGCUGCAGCUGGAUUUUAAGACCAGAUUGCUUCCCAUUUCGAUAAAUCGCGAAUUUGGCGCGAAAUGAAGGGUGCUAGAACAGGAACAACAGGAAGCGUGGAUCUGGAUGCAGGCCCCUCAGAAAAUACACAACGUUGGGCGAGGUUUGUAGCCACAUGCUUGAUUGGAGGGCUAGUGAUCGGGAUAUCGGUACUGGGCUUACAUUUCGGGGCUCCUCAUCAGCCGUCGCUGAGGAUAUGGAGAAGAAAGAAGAAGCCCGUUCGCGUAUACAUGGAUGGAUGUUUCGACAUGAUGCACUACGGCCAUUGCAACGCCCUCCGUCAGGCUAGAGCCCUUGGGGACCAAUUGGUCGUUGGCGUCGUUAGCGAUUCUGAAAUAAUUGCCAACAAAGGCCCUCCUGUUACUCCUCUUAACGAAAGGAUGAUUAUGGUCAACGCUGUUAAAUGGGUUGAUGAGGUUAUUCCAAACGCGCCGUAUGCCAUAACUGAAGAAUUUAUGAGAAAGCUAUUUGAUGAAUACAAGAUUGAUUAUAUCAUUCAUGGUGAUGACCCUUGUGUUCUACCUGACGGAACUGAUGCUUAUGCACUAGCUAAGAAGGCAGGUCGUUACAAGCAGAUCAAGCGUACAGAAGGUGUUUCAAGCACGGAUAUUGUAGGUCGCAUGCUUCUCUGUGUAAGAGAGAGAUCUAUUAGUGAUAAUCAAAAUCAUUCAUCAUUACAACGACAAUUCAGUCACGGUCACAGCCAAAAACUUGACGACGGUGGUUCUGGAACUGGAACUCGUGUCUCUCACUUCUUACCAACUUCUCGUAGAAUUGUUCAAUUUUCCAAUGGGAAGGGUCCAGGGCCAGAUGCUCGCAUCAUUUAUAUUGAUGGUGCAUUUGAUCUUUUUCAUGCUGGACACGUGGAGAUUUUGAAGCAUGCCCGCAGUAUGGGAGACUUUCUUCUGGUCGGAAUACAUACUGAUCUAACUGUCAGUGCCAACAGAGGAGCUCAUCGCCCAAUAAUGAAUCUGCAUGAGAGAAGUUUGAGUGUCUUGGCAUGUCGUUAUGUGGAUGAGGUGAUAAUCGGUGCACCUUGGGAAGUGUCUAAAGACAUGAUUACAACUUUUAACAUUUCAUUGGUAGUCCAUGGAACUGUAGCCGAGAUUAAUGAUUUUCAGAAGAGGGACUGCAAUCCAUAUGCUGUCCCUAUUAGUAUGGGGAUCUUCAAAAUUUUAGACAGCCCGCUAGAUAUCACAACCACCACUAUUAUUAGGAGGAUCGUAUCCAAUCAUGAGGCAUACCAGGAACUAUAGGUCUAAUGGUGUUGCUAUAUCGUAUAGCCCUCACAUGAACAUAAGUGCACAUAACUCGAGUUGGCAGAGAGUAUCAAUCGGAAACGUAACGAAAAGAAGGCAAAUAGCGAAAGAAGAUACUAUGAAGAUAAGGCUUAUAUUUUGGGUGAUUGAUGAUGUUGUCAACUAUCAAGUUUUGCCCCAAAAAAGAAAUAUCUAUGCACCCACCUUGCUUACUGUUUUUUUUUUAAUAUAUUUUUUUUAGUAAUUAACACCCUUGCAAAGGAUAUAUAAAAGAGACUUCAAAUAUUUAGACGAUUUUGAAGAGGGUGGCUAUAUUCCAUGACUUGAAUAUAGUGUUUAAUUUAAGUUUACUUUAUUGUAUUUUUGAGUUACCAUAGAAAGACUUAAACUUUUGAUAUCUUAACCAAUUGUUUACCUUUUCAGCCUUUAGUUAACAAUUGUAUAUUGUUGGUAUUUAUAUGAAUAUAAUAUAAAUAUGUAUUCUUGUUGGCAUUAA